rnacentral:rRNA from 1 species
AGUGAACGCUGGCGGUAGGCCUAACACAUGCAAGUCGAACGGCAGCACAGUAAGAGCUUGCUCUUACGGGUGGCGAGUGGCGGACGGGUGAGGAAUACAUCGGAAUCUACUUUUUCGUGGGGGAUAACGUAGGGAAACUUACGCUAAUACCGCAUACGACCUACGGGUGAAAGCAGGGGAUCUUCGGACCUUGCGCGAUUGAAUGAGCCGAUGUCGGAUUAGCUAGUUGGCGGGGUAAAGGCCCACCAAGGCGACGAUCCGUAGCUGGCCUGAGAGGAUGAUCAGCCACACUGGAACUGAGACACGGUCCAGACUCCUACGGGAGGCAGCAGUGGGGAAUAUUGGACAAUGGGCGAAAGCCUGAUCCAGCCAUGCCGCGUGGGUGAAGAAGGCCUUCGGGUUGUAAAGCCCUUUUGUUAGGAAAGAAAAGAAGCAGGUUAAUACCCCGCUGUUCUGACGGUACCCAAAGAAUAAGCACCGGCUAACUUCGUG